UCUUCUCCAUUUAUUUUCAUAUCUCUCUCUCUCUCCCUCUCUCCAUUAGUCGGGCAUUCAUCUCCAUGGAGCUCAAGACUCAAGAGUACUACCACCUAGCUAACUAUAAAGGUAUUGUAAGGUUACUUAAUUCUCUGCCGCUCUCUUGCUCUCUCCCCAUCUAUAUACCUGUCCACACCUCAAGAUCCAACUAUGCCAGCACCACCACGAUUCCUCUCUAUAUCUAGGGUUUCUUGCCUCUCCCUCUCUCUUCCUCCCUCGUUCUAGCUUAGCCCAGAGCCUUUGCCUUAUAUAUAGGUAGCCGCCACCUCCCUUGUUUUCGUGGAGGUAGCCGCCCAUGCCAGCCAAUCGAUCUUAACCUAGCUGCCUACUUCUCUUCUUUGAUCUACUCCGUCCAUUGAUUCAUCGAUCUGUUUAUAUAGAGAAUUUCCCCAGCCAGCCCCUCUCCCUUCCCAUACAGGCUUGUCUUCUUCGCCUCCGGCGCCGGUGUAUGGCAUAAAGUAGAUAGAUAUGACAAGAUCGAUUCGGCCGGCCGGUUCCGGUUUCUUUUUUGUUUAAUUAGGAUAAUUCCUUUCCAUAUAUACAUAUACCUUUCUCCUCAUCUUUGAUCCAUCACUUCGCCUGCAUACAUAGAUGUGGAAUCCAUAUCCUCAUCUCCAUCUUCUUCUUAAUCCUUCUCCACUUCUAUACCAUCUAUCUCGCAAUGGCUGUAUGAGGAUCAGAGAUCGCAGUUGGCCGUUGCAGGUGCAGCACCACCAAGAUUCACAUCGGAUUCGACCUCUUCGUGUCGUAAAUGAGAUGAGAAUCUUGAUGAUGCUGCAUCAGCAACCGCUCGGCUCAUCGUCAACCGGCUCGUCCACAAUCAUCUGACGUCUGCUGCUGCAGAUGCCCCGUCCACCUGGUAGUUGAGCUCCCAGCCUAGCUCCCAUCGAUCUCUUAAUUUCCUUUUUUUUUUAUGUGGUACUUCUCGCAACCAUUUUAUUUUUUAGCUGCAAAUGUUGGGAAAAAUUGACUGAAGUUUGACAAAAACGAUACUACUGCAUCAGCCAAUUAAUAAUGUAAUUUUCUUCGCUGCUUGGUUAUUUCUUUCAACUUAAGUGUAGCUAGCAAAAAAAAUCUUAAUUCUUUCCAGAGGUGCUAGUACUAAGUAUACAUAACUGUUCUGCACAAACUUGAUCGAGGGGAUCAAUAAUUAUAUAUAUACAUUCAUGAUUUGACUAAGUGGUGCAUGCAUAUGCCGUGAUUUUAUGAUAUUUACAAGUAGUGUCAUUUUGUUUGGAAGAUUCCUCAGUGACAAGUAAGCUCCUCAGUCUAUUGGCAACAUGUGCACACUUGUAACAUGGACGCUAGCUACCUUUCCAGCUUGUGACAAGUAAGCUCUCUGCACUUUUGUUGAUUCUAUAUAUGUCGAUCGAGCCGCUAGCUCAUUAAUUUUCUUUUCAUUCGAUAUUAUGUAGUUAUCUAACAAGAAAAUUAAUGAGCCAGUCUUUGGGUUUGCCGGGAGGGGGACAGCAUACAUAUGUACACAAACCUUUGAGUUAAACAUUGUUAGUAAAUCUUUCUGUAUAGUUAAUUAGCCGGCUGAUGUUUCCCUUAAUUGGCCCCUUCAAUUAUUUCCUAACAGCCUCUGGUUGACGCCGACACGCUUUAAUUUAUGCAUACAUAUGCGAUCCCCAUCAUCAGUUCGAGACGGUGUGUGCCACUCUAGCAGUACAGCUCCAUCAUUCAUCUAUAUUCUCUACUGCAUGUACACCACACAAGCAUGUACACCUUGCAUUCUAGCUAUUUCUUUGCUAAAAGGGGGGACAUGUCAAAGGAAGUCACACGUGCACACUUUGAGCUCUACAUGGCCAGCAGCUCGAGUAUAUGCUUGCUGUUUCAAUAUUCUCCUCUGGUGGUACUACCUGUAUCUCCUCUUGUGCAUUUCAAAAUCUUUCCCUGUCAGUGAUAUGUAGGACGCUAUCAUGUACUUGUUCGUUUAGGAAAACACCAUGUAGGCACUACCAGUCGACCAAGAUCUGUACUUCUGGUGAUUAAUUAACUGACCACCAAUGUAUCUGAUCUAUGUCUGUCCUUGAUCAUUGGAUACCGGCGGUUAACUGUUCAUGUCAAUGACAGUAAAUUAUUGCAUAUGGUUUCCAUAAUGCAAUCGAUCGAUGGAAGAAACUCGUUGAUCUUUUCAUACUGAUGUGUGGUGUGCGUGUUGUGAAGAAACCAUGGCCACAAAGUGCAAUCCAAGCAUCGAAACGAAUGGAAGCACAUGAUGCAUGCAUCAAGAACUACAGUUGGCCCUGCCGGCCGGAAGCUCUGCAGAAAAAUCUCACACCAUCGAUCGCUGGAUGGUUCAAUUAAGUGGACCAUUGCGCAUGCAGGGGAGGUAGCUAGGGGCCGGGUGGGCAAUACGUAGUACAUUGCUAUUAUUGUGCCCGACGAAGGGGACCAAUGUGGUGCACUGCAGAUGCAGGAGAGGGCCUUGCAGAAUGGUGUGGCCGGCCGGUACAACUGUCUCAUCAGUCAUCAAAGGAUCAAGGCUGCAACCGGCCAAGUGGCCAACUACAUGCAGGUCAGUGCACCUAGACUCUCUGCUUAAUUACAUCUUCAUCUCAGUUUUCAAAAACUAACAUUGAUAUUGAGCCCAGAUUAAUUAGAUGUAUAUAUCAGCUUAAGAUCCUAGAAAAAUAUGGAUGGAUGCUUGGUAACUAGCUAUCUACAACUGUGUACAUGUAUAGCUUGAUUGAUCCAUCUCUCCUCGAUCUCCUUUAUCUGAAAAGUACUGCCAUGUUGACUGAUCUAUGUUAGUUUUUCUUUCAGUGCUUGUCUGCUAAUUAUUUGUAAGGUAAGCCAAGUAGAAAGAAAUCAAGUGAACAACUUGUUGAUUGAGUACAAAGUUGUAAUAUUUGGGCAGCUGCUUAAUAUUGCACUGUCUACGUACAUGUAUUGCUUGAUUAAUUCAUGUCUCUUCUCCUUUAUCUAAAAA